rnacentral:rRNA from 1 species
GACGAACGCUGGCGGCGUGCCUAAUACAUGCAAGUAGAACGCUGAAGGAGGAGCUUGCUUCUCUGGAUGAGUUGCGAACGGGUGAGUAACGCGUAGGUAACCUGCCUGGUAGCGGGGGAUAACUAUUGGAAACGAUAGCUAAUACCGCAUAAGAGUAGAUGUCGCAUGACAUUUGCUUAAAAGGUGCAAUUGCAUCACUACCAGAUGGACCUGCGUUGUAUUAGCUAGUUGGUGAGGUAACGGCUCACCAAGGCAACGAUACAUAGCCGACCUGAGAGGGUGAUCGGCCACACUGGGACUGAGACACGGCCCAGACUCCUACGGGAGGCAGCAGUAGGGAAUCUUCGGCAAUGGACGGAAGUCUGACCGAGCAACGCCGCGGGAGUGAAGAAGGUUUUCGGAUCGUAAAGCUCUGCUGUAAGAGAAGAACGAGUGUGAGAGUGGAAAGUUCACACUGUGACGGUAGCUUACCAGAAAGGGACGGCUAACUACGUG